rnacentral:rRNA from 1 species
GACGAACGCUGGCGGCGUGCUUAACACAUGCAAGUCGAACGGUGAAGGGAUCAGCUUGCUGGUUCUGGAUGAGUGGCGAACGGGUGAGUAACACGUGAGUAACCUGCCCCCUUCUUCUGGAUAACCGCAUGAAAGUGUGGCUAAUACGGGAUAUUCUGGGUCUGUCGCAUGAUGGGUCUGGGAAAGAUAUUGUUUCGGUGGGGGAUGGGCUCGCGGCCUAUCAGCUUGUUGGUGGGGUGAUGGCCUACCAAGGCGGUGACGGGUAGCCGGCCUGAGAGGGGGGACGGUCACACUGGGACUGAGACACGGCCCAGACUCCUACGGGAGGCAGCAGUGGGGAAGAUGGCACAAUGGGCGCAAGCCUGAUGCAGCGACGCCGCGUGAGGGAUGGAGGCCUUCGGGUUGUAAACCUCUUUCGCCAGUGAAGCAGGCCUGCUCCUUGUGGGUGGGUUGACGGUAGCUGGAUAAGAAGCGCCGGCUAACUACGUG